AUUGCGCAUGCGUUCAGUAGACGGGCGCUCUCAAGGCUUGGCCGCAGCCUGUCGGAUUGCACAGAGAACCGGUGAGGGCUUCAGAGAUCCAUCGACAGCUACUGCAGAGCAUCUCCCGUCUCCCAGCAACAGGGGACCGGUCUGGGAGGCAGCUUCAGACAACAGACUCCGAUCCACGGCGGGAAAACGCCAGGCACCCUCCGUGUAGCUGAAACGUCACGUGAAAUCUCGGCCAGUCUCUUCACCUCUGCCAUCUGAAGGAAUUAAGACCCCAGCCGGUGUUGCAGACUUUAUCGGAAGUAUUGCUCCCGAUCUCCGACUUCUCAGUGCCUCCAGUCGCUUCCGGUUCUAAAGUUUGGUCCGUUUUGAGCGCUCAGCGUCCCGCCCACUGACACGCUCCACCAAUGAGAGCAUGUUUGUUCCCGUGGUGCUCUCUGAGACAGGCUGCGGCCGGGAGCUGGAGAUGUCAGUCUCAGUUUGUUCUCAGAAUCAAGGGGAGUUCCCGAAGCACAAAGUUUAAAGUAAAUUUUAUUAUUGGAGUACAAAUAAUUCUCAGCAUACAACACCCAGAUUCAUUUUCCUGCCCACAUACAAAAAAAAUUCUGUAGAGUAGUAAUUAUAACAGCAUCAAGGAAAGAUCAACUAGAGUGCAGAAGACAACAAACUGUGCAAAUGCAAAUAUAAAUAAAUAGCAAUAAAUAGCGAGAACAUGAAACAAACGCAGCAGCUGCUGAUGGAUCUCUGGAGCUCUGACCACUCCCCUGUGCAAUCCGACAGGCUGCAGGCCAAGGGAGAACAAGGUGCAAAGAUACCACAAUUCCUUCCCACAGACAUCAGUAUAAUUCUAAUUCCCUGACACUGCUGCACGCGUAGUGGACAAUCGUGGUACUGCAGGGAUCAGCAGCUCCCUGAAAGUGAAAGCAUUCUGAAUCAGGAAGCGCCAGGAGUUAACAUGGUUUCGGAAGGACCGGCCGAGAGUUGGACUGAGGAGGCAAUUGGUCCCACCUGCUUGGAUUUCUUCACCGAUCCGGUAUCACUGGAGUGCAGGCACAACUUCUGUCGCUCUUGUAUCACACAGUGUUGGGAAAGGGAGGAGAGAAACUCCAGCCCGGAAUGUAGAGAGGUGUUUGCUGACCGCACCCUCAGGGUCAAUCGGGCCUUAGCAAAUCUGGUUGAAAAAGUUCGAAAUCUAAGCCUGAAUCUGAAAGGUAAGGAAAGUAAACAUCGCUGCGAGGAACAUGAGGAAGAACUGAAGCUGUUUUGUGAAACGGACAAGAUACUGGUCUGUCUGAUCUGUAGAGAGGUGCAGGAACACAGAGCACCGUUUUGUGAUGAUUAACGAAGUCGUUAAAAUAUACAUGGUAAAACUAACGUUAAUUUGAUACUCAACCCUUUUUCUCUUGUCCUACAUACCAUCACAUGACUCUAAAACAAACACAUUAUUCUCUGCAACUUCCGCCAUCUCCAAUGGGAUUCUACCAUCUCUCCAUCCUACAGCCCACAACUCUCUGCUCUUUGUAGGGAUCGCUCCUCGUACUGUAUCGCCCUUAUCCACUUGCUCCUCCCGACUGAUCUCCCUCCUUGCACUGACACCUGCAAACGGGAUAAGUGCUACACCUGACUCCUACAUCUCUUCCCGCGGCACCGAACAGUCCCAGUUCCUCCCGUUUCUUCCGUGGUUGAUUGCCCUGUUGUAUCAGAAUCCUCUUUCAGCUCGUUUCCUCUUCCACCUGUCCCCUGUCAGCUUCUUACUUCAUCACCUCCCCCACAUUCCCCCUCAUGUUGUAUCAGCCGUCACCUGUCAGUUGGUUCUCAUCCCCAAACUUUUUAUUCUGACAUCUGUCCCGGGUGUAAUGAAGGGUCUCAUCUUGGAACACCGACUGAAUAUUUCCCCUGCACAGAAGCUGCCUGACUCACUGAGUUCCUCCGGCAUUUUGUGGCGAUAAUCGGGUUUGAUCACCUUCUUCUUUUGUUGCAUCUUUGUUUCUAUUUCCCUCACUCUCUGACUUCCAGGAUCAGAUAAUAUCUUCCUUAGACUCUCCGACAGAAAAGAAAUCAGACUUCCAGGAAAAGGAGCAACACCCAAAAGAGAAGAUUUACGGAGUGAGGGUUCCUGAGAAGAAUUUCUGAUAUUAGUGUAUCGUUUUGCUCCCUUUAAUGCAGAAAAGCAGAGUAUUGCUGCUCCAGUGACCUGGGUUUGAUCCUGACAUCUGGUGCUGUCUGUGUGGAGUUUGCAUGCUCUCCCUGGGAGAACAACAGUUUCAGACCAUCCCAAGAAUGUGCCGUAUGAAUGGUUAAUUACAAUUAACCCUGUGAAUGUGGGGGAGGAUGUAUGUGAAUCAUCCUACCCUACACACAUAAUGUGAAUCAGGUGGGAGUUAAUGGGUCAAUGAGGGAGAAUAAGUUUCAGGAAAACAUGAGGGAAUGGGGUGGACAGGAUUGUUUCAGAGCUAGCAUGUGCUUCAAUGGACCGAACACAGCACUUCAGUAAACACAUCUUCACCUCUCAUUUGACAGGAACAGUCACACAGCGUUCAGACCCACAUCACAUCCCAGUUUGCUGAACUGCGUCAGAUUUUCACUGAGAAAGAGCAGAGCUUACUCAGGGAUCUCAGGGAGAAAGAGGAGAUGAUUCUAAAUCCAAUGGUGAAAAAUCUUCAAGAGAUUCAAGAGAAUACAAGGUUAAUUCAGGAGGAAAUCUCAAAGUUAAAGGAACAGAUGGAUCAAUAAGACGAGUGUGAUAUUUCUCAAGGUGAGGGAUUAUAUUUUGAUUUGAUUCUGUCAAAGGUCACUAAACAAACUCGUAUAUUUGAAAUAAACACAGCACAACGGCCAAUUCUAACAAAUUGUCGUUGCUGGCGAACUUGCA